GGCUUCGUGGUGUAGUGGUCAGCACGCUCGACGCGUAACCGAGAGGUCCGUGGUUCGAUUCUCGGCGAAGGCG
rnacentral:tRNA from 1 species